UACGAAGGGGGCUAGCGUUGCUCGGAAUCACUGGGCGUAAAGCGCACGUAGGCGGAUUGCUAAGUCAGGGGUGAAAUCCUGGAGCUCAACUCCAGAACUGCCUUUGAUACUGGCGACCUUGAGUCCGGGAGAGGUGAGUGGAACUGCGAGUGUAGAGGUGAAAUUCGUAGAUAUUCGCAAGAACACCAGUGGCGAAGGCGGGUUGCUGGGCCGACACUGACGCUGAGGCGCGAAAGCGUGGGGAGCAAACAGG
rnacentral:rRNA from 1 species